rnacentral:rRNA from 1 species
AUUGAACGCUGGCGGCAUGCCUUACACAUGCAAGUCGAACGGCGGCACGGGUGCUUGCACCUGGUGGCGAGUGGCGAACGGGUGAGUAAUACAUCGGAACAUGUCCUGUAGUGGGGGAUAGCCCGGCGAAAGCCGGAUUAAUACCGCAUACGAUCUACGGAUGACAGCGGGGGACCUUCGGGCCUCGCGCUAUAGGGUUGGCCGAUGGCUGAUUAGCUAGUUGGUGGGGUAAAGGCCUACCAAGGCGACGAUCAGUAGCUGGUCUGAGAGGACGACCAGCCACACUGGGACUGAGACACGGCCCAGACUCCUACGGGAGGCAGCAGUGGGGAAUUUUGGACAAUGGGCGAAAGCCUGAUCCAGCAAUGCCGCGUGUGUGAAGAAGGCCUUCGGGUUGUAAAGCACUUUUGUCCGGAAAGAAAUCCUUGGCCCUAAUACGGUCGGGGGAUGACGGUACCGGAAGAAUAAGCACCGGCUAACUACGUG